CCUACGGGAGGCAGCAGUGGGGAAUUUUGGACAAUGGGGGCAACCCUGAUCCAGCAAUGCCGCGUGAGUGAAGAAGGCCUUCGGGUUGUAAAGCUCUUUUGUCAGGGAAGAAACGGUUUUGGCUAAUAUCCAGAACUAAUGACGGUACCUGAAGAAUAAGCACCGGCUAACUACGUGCCAGCAGCCGCGGUAA
rnacentral:rRNA from 1 species